AGCAGCUGCUCCUCCUUGUACAGCGCGCCGAAGAUGGCGUCGAAGAGGCCCUUCUCCUCCGUCGCCGCCGCCGCCGUGACGCUCUUCGUCGCCGACGGCCGCGCCACGCGUGCGGACGGCGGCGGCGGCGCCGCCGCCCGACGGUGGCUCAGGCGUCUCCCGGCGGCCACCGCCGGCGCCACCGUGGUGCCGAAACCAACCGACG
rnacentral:misc_RNA from 1 species